rnacentral:rRNA from 1 species
AACGAACGCUGGCGGCAGGCCUAACACAUGCAAGUCGAGCGAAGCCUUCGGGCUUAGCGGCGGACGGGUGAGUAACGCGUGGGAACGUGCCCUUUGCUACGGAAUAGCCCCGGGAAACUGGGAGUAAUACAGUAUGUGCCCUUCGGGGGAAAGAUUUAUCGGCAAAGGAUCGGCCCGCGUUGGAUUAGGUAGUUUGUGGGGUAAUGGCCUACCAAGCCGACGAUCCAUAGCUGGUUUGAGAGGAUGAUCAGCCACACUGGGACUGAGACACGGCCCAGACUCCUACGGGAGGCAGCAGUGGGGAAUCUUAGACAAUGGGGGAAACCCUGAUCUAGCCAUGCCGCGUGAUCGAUGAAGGCCUUAGGGUUGUAAAGAUCUUUCAGUGGGGAAGAUAAUGACUGUACCCACAGAAGAAGCCCCGGCUAACUCCGUGCCAGCCGCCGCAGUAAAAC